UCUUCCAUGAUGAUCAAUAAAAAUGAUUUUCGUUCUUCUGAGCUUGCUGAAGCCAUUUUUAUGAUCUGAGAAGG